rnacentral:rRNA from 1 species
UACGAAGGGUGCAAGCGUUAAUCGGAAUUACUGGGCGUAAAGCGUGCGUAGGCGGUGAGUUAAGUCUGUCGUGAAAUCCCCGGGCUUAACUUGGGAAUUGCGCUCGAAACUACGUGGCUCGAGUGUGGCAGAGGAAGGUGGAAUUCCACGUGUAGCGGUGAAAUGCGUAGAGAUGUGGAGGAACACCGAUGGCGAAGGCAGCCUUCUGGGCCAACACUGACGCUCAUGCACGAAAGCGUGGGGAGCAAACAGG